UUCAGAUCGGUGAUUUACAAGUUUUGAUGAGAAACGUGAGGGAAUGGAAGGGGAGAGAAAGUUUGGGAUCACGCCGUUGUUGUUUUUUCCAGGAGAGCAAGAAGGUCAGGUGGAUCCUGAGAAAUGCAGUCAGACUCCAGAGCUUGACAAGUCCUCAGUGUGCAGGAAAAUCUAAGGGAAAUGCCCACAUUAACUCAUAUUGAUGAUUACCCCAGCAGAGUCUGGACUCUCCCUCGAUUCAGUGAACACACUGGUAUGUAGUAGAGGCCAGACAGGCAUCCUGAAGCCAUAUCCUCCAACCCCACCUGUGGUUGCCUGUGAAGGGCAAUGCGCCUUGAAUGCUCUCCUCAGUGCACAUGAGGACCUGAUUCUCUAUUCGGACCCACGUGGGUUUCUCCUUGCUCCUUCCCUAAGCUUCAAGUCUAUAAAUGUUCCCUGUUCUCAAAGUGC
rnacentral:lncRNA from 1 species